AAAGAUAUGGAUUUUACUUGGCAUAUUAUUUUAUUAAAGAAUUUUAGAAUAGUUAAGAAAGAAGGCCUCGUAUUACUUUAGGGUUUUACUUUAAGGUAAUAUAACCAUGUUGCGUCUUGAUCUCGGGGCAUGACAAAAAUAUGUGCUCCAAACCAGUCUGUAUCCACAAGCAGAAUUCCUUCUGUAUUUACUCAAGCAUUUUGCAUUAUGAUCAUAAUAUUUAUACAAACUGGUUUGAGUGAAUGAUGCCUUUCUAAAUGUUGAUAAUUCAACUUUUCACCUAGUGCUGAUUGUUAAGCAAUACUAUUUUUUUUUUCCAUUUAAUUUCAUUUUCCUUGCAGGCACUUGUGGGUGAAUACUGAGUACAUUGUAAUUUCUUUUUCAAACUUGCUGGUGCAUUUAUCCUUACAUUCACAGAUGCUGGGGUAUGUAUCUUAUUGGUGUUCAGGUGGGCUGCUGUCCCUUCUUUGGAAAUCGUUAUUCUGCAAUGCAGAGAAGCAAUGAUGGAACAUGAAUUAGAGUCUGGCUUCUUUCUAUCAUGUUUUGGUUUUUAACAUUGCCUCUGGAUGGGCAUGUUGAAAGAAUUUCACCUAGAAUGAUGGGAAAUAUUCAUCAAUUAGAUUUACUAAUUUGUAGGAGUAUCUUUGCAAGUAACAAUCAUGAUUCACGAAACCACUAUAUGCAAUUUCUGCAUUGCAACCUGGUUUAUGUUACUUGGGUGUUGGCACAAAAUCUGCAGGUUAUUCUUAUUUUCUCCCUUAUUUAAAUAUUUUCAACAUUCGUCAUCCCUGUGGUAUUAAGUUUGUGACAGUUAGAAGCUGUCAUCAAUGUGAAAUAUUCCUCUUCCUAAAAUAUAUAAGGUCAGGAUUUAAUCAUUGAUUAAUAUUUUCUUUUUCUUUAUUUGUGAUUGGGUACUUAAUGAACUAUUGGUGUCUUAAAUUUAGAACUCUAGAAAGCAUUUUGUGUUUAAAAAGAGGCUUGGUUGAUACUGAUUCAAUGAUAAUAUAUU